rnacentral:rRNA from 1 species
AACCCUGACCGAGCAACGCCGCGUGAAUGAUGAAGGUCUUCGGAUUGUAAAAUUCUGUGGUAAGAGAAGAAAGAUAUAAAGAGGAAAUGCUUUGUAUUUGACGGUAUCUUGCUAGAAAGCCACGGCUAACUACGUGCCAGCAGCCGCGGUAAUACGUAGGUGGCAAGCGUUAUCCGGAAUUACUGGGCGUAAAGAGUGAGCAGGCGGUUAGAUAAGUCUAUGGUUAAAUGCAACAGCUCAACUGUUGUUCGCUAUAGAAACUAUUUAACUAGAGUGCGGGAGAGGUAAGUGGAACUCCAUAUGUAGCGGUGGAAUGCUUAGAUAUAUGGAAGAACACCAGAGGCGAAGGCGGCUUACCAGUCCGUAACUGACGCUCAGUCACGAAAGCGUGGGGAGCAAAUAGGAUUAGAUAUCCUAGUAGUCCACGCCGUAAACGAUGAGAACCUGAUGCAGGAGAUAUUCUGUGUCGAAGCUAACGCGUUAAGUUCUCCGCCUGGGUACUACGUUCGCAAGAAUAAAACUUAAAGGAAUUGACGGGCGCCCGCACAAGCAGUGGAGCAUGGGGUUUAAUUCGUCGAUACACGAAAAACCUUACCAGGGCUUGACAUCCCGCUAAAAGCCUUAGAAAUAAGGAAAUAGUUAUAGCGGUGACAGGUGGUGCAUGGUUGUCGUCAGCUCGUGCCGUGAGGUGUUAGGUUAAGUCCUCAAACGAGCGCAACCCUUGUCUUUAGUUGCCAUUAUUAAUUUAGGAACUCUAGAGAGACUGCCGGCGCAAGCCGGAGGAAGGCGGGGAUGACGUCAAAUCAUCAUGCCCUUUAUGCCCUGGGCCACACCCGUGCUACAAUGGUCGGUACAAAGAGAAGCAACACUGUGAGGUGAAGCAAAUCCCAUAAAGCCGAUCUCAAUUCGGAUUGAAGUCUGCAACUCGACUUCAUGAAGCUGGAAUUGCUAGUAAUCGCAGAUCAGCAACGCUGCGGUGAAUACGUUCUCGGGCGUUGUACACACUGCCCGUCACACCAUGAGAGCCGGUAAUACUCGAAGUCGUUAGCCUAACCGUAAGGAGGGCGGCGCCUAAGGUAGGACUGGUGAUUGGGGUUAAGUCGUAACAAGGUAUCCCUACGAGAACGUGGGGAUG